rnacentral:rRNA from 1 species
CUCGUAGCUUGCUAUGAGAAUAAUUAGUGGCAGACGGGUGAGUAAUGCAUAGGAAUCUACCUAGUAGUAUAGGAUAGCCACUAGAAAUGGUGGGUAAUACUGUAUAAUCCCUGCGGGGGAAAGAUUUAUCGCUACAUGAUGAGCCUAUGUUAGAUUAGCUAGUUGGUGGGGUAAUGGCCUACCAAGGCAGUGAUCUAUAGCUGGUCUGAGAGGAUGAUCAGCCACACUGGAACUGAGACACGGUCCAGACUCCUACGGGAGGCAGCAGUGGGGAAUAUUGGACAAUGGGCGCAAGCCUGAUCCAGCUAUGCCGCGUGAGUGAGGAAGGCCUUAGGGUUGUAAAACUCUUUCAGUGGGGAAGAUAAUGACGGUACCCACAGAAGAAGUCCCGGCAAACUCCGUGCCAGCAGCCGCGGUAAUACGGAGGGGGCAAGCGUUGUUCGGAAUUAUUGGGCGUAAAGGGCAUGUAGGUGGUUUGGUAAGUUAAAGGUGAAAUGCCAGGGCUUAACCCUGGAGCUGCUUUUAAUACUGCCAGACUGGAGUCCGGGAGA